AGAUUGAACGCUGGCGGCAGGCCUAACACAUGCAAGUCGAGCGGUAGAGAGGUGCUUGCAUCUCUUGAGAGCGGCGGACGGGUGAGUAAUGCCUAGGAAUCUGCCUAGUGGUGGGGGAUAACGUUCGGAAACGGACGCUAAUACCGCAUACGUCCUACGGGAGAAAGCGGGGGACCUUCGGGCCUCGCGCCAUUAGAUGAGCCUAGGUCGGAUUAGCUAGUUGGUGAGGUAAUGGCUCACCAAGGCGACGAUCCGUAACUGGUCUGAGAGGAUGAUCAGUCACACUGGAACUGAGACACGGUCCAGACUCCUACGGGAGGCAGCAGUGGGAAUAUUGGACAAUGGGCGAAAGCCUGAUCCAGCCAUGCCGCGUGUGUGAAGAAGGUCUUCGGAUUGUAAAGCACGUUUAAGUGGAGAAGGUUGUAACUAAUACGUUGCUAACUUUGACGUUACCGACAGAAUAAGCAACCGGCUAAACUCGUGCCAGCAGCCGUACG
rnacentral:rRNA from 1 species